UGGGUUCAAACAUUAAUAUGUGAUUAAAAAUAAAUAAACAUGGGUCUAACGCCCAAUUCCAACCUACUUAAAACCUAAAACAAACUCUAAAAUAAAUAAAAAUGAUAACAUAAAAUAGUAGGAGAAAACAAGUGAUAAAUAAAAGUAAAUAUAGCAUAUGAAAUACUGUAAAUGAGAGUAAGGACGGUACACCUCCUGUUCCAAAACUUUUGAAUUUCAAAAUGCCAUGUGACCAUAAAGAAUAUUAAAAAAAAAAA
rnacentral:lncRNA from 1 species